CCAGACACACUCUCUCUUUCAGACGUUCAGCGCUCACUUUUUUUCUCUCGACGGUUCUCUCAACAUCCCUAAUCUUCAAAGCCUAUCAUAUCCCUAAUCCAUUCCGCUUUUAUCUUCUUACUAGCGUUUACCAUUGAAAAACACUCGCAAUCUAUCUUCACUCACCAUGCUCGAGCUUUCCUCCACACUCUCAAGCCAUGUUCGGUUCUUGCUGCAGUCCUUCACUGAAGCCAUCGCUGACUCUGUUUUUCGAGAACUCUGCCAGGUGCGGUGUGAUGGUUGUAAAGUUUGGGUGCAUGCAGAGUGCGGCAAAAUUUCCAGCCAUCAAAUUUUUUAUUUCCCCAAUCAAAUCAUAUUUGCUUCUCCAGGUUCUGGGGGCCACUGAUUAUUACUGCCCUACUUUCAAAGUGAAGUUUAUUAUAUUAAACAUACUUUUGUUGACAAAUGUUUAAUAUCAAAAGUAUUUUCAUUUAUCAUAAUGAUUACAACCAAAGUAUUGAAUUAUCAGAUUCAGAGAAGUGGCAGCCAAAAACUAAAUCAAAAACUAACAACAGUCAACUAGUUUUGCCUAACAAGGCUACUGUUCUCUGCUGUGGUGUUGAAGGCAUAUAUUACCCAAGCCUCCACUCCUUUUUGGGAUGUUUUUUGUAAAAGGCAG